rnacentral:rRNA from 1 species
AUUGAACGCUGGCGGCAGGCCUAACACAUGCAAGUCGAACGAGUGGCGGACGGGUGAGUAAUGUCUGGGAAACUGCCCGAUGGAGGGGGAUAACUACUGGAAACGGUAGCUAAUACCGCAUACCAUCGGAUGUGCCCAGAUGGGAUUAGCUAGUAGGUGGGGUAACGGCUCACCUAGGCGACGCUCCCUAGCUGGUCUGAGAGGAUGACCAGCCACACGGGGACCUGGACACGGUCCAGACUCCUACGGGAGGGAGGAGGGGGGAAUAUUGCACAAUGGGCGCAAGCCUGAUGGAGGCAUGGCGGGGGGAUGGAGAAGGCCUUCGGGUUGUAAAGUACUUUCAGCGGGGAGGCGGUACUCGCAGAAGAAGCACCGGCUAACUCCGUGCCAGCCGCCGCGGUAAUUC